AAAAACCCAAGGUUGGGUCUCCUUAGCUAUUACAGGUGCCUGGGACCAAGACUGGAGGGGAUGUGUGAGCUACCAAAAGAUGCUGGGCCUGCCACAGCCCCUGGAUGGACACACGAGUCCAUAUGGUUGAACUGAUAUAAGCCUACACAAGCAACUGAAGGUGUCCAAACACACCUGUCUUUUGAAGCAGGAGCUAGACUUCGAGGGGGAGUUCUGCUCACAACGUCAGAGCGGUGCUGAGUGAAGCUACUCCAUGAAAAUUCUGCCAGUUCCUACCAGAGAGCACUGUCCCUCCCUUCAGUGGCAGUCAGUUUUAUGGAAGAGGGUCCAGCAAAGGUCAAAAGAAGUACACUGAACUGCAGAGCAUCUCUUAAGCCACUUACUACAUUAAAAACUUCUACAAUUA